AUGGAAGAGGGAGAUGGACAAGUCCAGAAAGUAGCUACCCUGGCAGCGAUGUGCAUUAAAUUGAAGGGAGAAGAGCGACCUACAAUGAGGGAAGUGGAGAUGAAACUUGAAAUUCUGAGAAUGCGUGUGGCACCUGAUACUGCUGCAUCAAGGAGAUAUGACAGGGAUCAAAUUGGGUAUGUAUACAUGCCAACUGAAGCAGUUGUUGUGGAAGCUAGCAGGCAAUACACUAUGGAGGAAGAAAUAUUAUUGUGCGCAAGUUAUCCUCGAUGUACUUGCUGCAGCGUCCUCAACAACUAA
rnacentral:rRNA from 1 species